rnacentral:rRNA from 1 species
AGAACGAACGCUGGCGGCAUGCCUAAUACAUGCAAGUCGAACGAACUCUUCGGAGUUAGUGGCGCACGGGUGCGUAACGCGUGGGAAUCUGCCCCUUGGUUCGGAAUAACAGUUGGAAACGACUGCUAAUACCGGAUGAUGACGAAAGUCCAAAGAUUUAUCGCCAAGGGAUGAGCCCGCGUAGGAUUAGCUAGUUGGUGAGGUAAAGGCUCACCAAGGCAACGAUCCUUAGCUGGUCUGAGAGGAUGAUCAGCCACACUGGGACUGAGACACGGCCCAGACUCCGUACGGGAGGCAGCAGUAGGGAAUAUUGGACAAGUGGGACGAAAGCCUGAUCCAGCAAUGCCGCGUGAGUGAUGAAGGCCGUUAGGGUUGUAA